UUUUAAGGCCAUACCGCUCUGAACGCACCCCAUCUCAGAAGCUAAGCAGGGUUGGGCUUGACCAGUACUUGGAUGGGAGUUCAUCCAAAAGAAGAUAAGCUAGAGGAACCACAUGGCAGUCAUGAGAU
rnacentral:rRNA from 1 species